UACGAAGGGGGCGAGCGUUGUUCGGAAUUACUGGGCGUAAAGCGCACGUAGGCGGUUCGUUAAGUCGGAUGUGAAAGCCCUCGGCUCAACUGAGGAAGUGCACCCGAAACUGGCGAGCUUGAGUACGAAAGAGGAUCGCGGAAUUCCCGGUGUAGAGGUGAAAUUCGUAGAUAUCGGGAGGAACACCGGUGGCGAAGGCGGCGAUCUGGGUCGAUACUGACGCUGAGGUGCGAAAGCGUGGGGAGCAAACAGG
rnacentral:rRNA from 1 species